AUUGAACGCUGGCGGCAGGCCUAACACAUGCAAGUCGAACGAGUGGCGGACGGGUGAGUAAUGUCUGGGAAACUGACCGAUGGAGGGGGAUAACUACUGGAAACGGUAGCUAAUACCGCAUACCAUCGGAUGUGCCCAGAUGGGAUUAGCUAGUAGGUGGGGUAAAGGCUCACCUAGGCGACGAUCCCUAGCUGGUCUGAGAGGAUGACCAACCCUACUGGAACUUAGACACGGUCCAGACUCCGACUCGACGCAUCGUUGUAUAAUAUUGCACAAUGGGCGCAAGCCUGAUCCAGCCAUGCCGCGUGUAUGAAGAAGUCCUUCGGGUUUUAAAGUACUUUCAGCGGUGAGGCGUUACCCGCAGAAGAAGCACCGGCUAACUCCGUGCCAGCAGCCGCGGUAAUAC
rnacentral:rRNA from 1 species